AUUGAACGCUGGCGGCAGGCCUAACACAUGCACGUCGAACGAGUGGCGGACGGGUGAGUAAUGUCUGGGAGACUGCCCGAUGGAGGGGGAUAACUACUGGAAACGGUAGCUAAUACCGCAUACCAUCGGAUGUGCCCAGAUGGGAUUAGCUAGUAGGUGGAGUAACGGCUCAACUAGGCGACGAUCCUUAGCUGGUCUGAGAGGAUGACCAGCCAAACUGGAACUGAGACACGGUCCCGACUCCUACGGGAGGCAGCAGUGGGGAAUAUUGCACAAUGGGCGCAAGCCGGAUGCAGCCAUGCCGCGUGUAUGAAGAAGGCCUUCGGGUUGUAAAGUACUUUCAGCGAGGAGGCGUUACUCGCAGAAGGAGCACCGGCUAACUCCGUGCCAGCGGCCGCGGUAAUUC
rnacentral:rRNA from 1 species